UUUAUUGGAGAGUUUGAUCCUGGCUCAGGAUGAACGCUGGCGGCGUGCCUAAUACAUGCAAGUCGAGCGAACGGAUUAAGAGCUUGCUCUUAAGAAGUUAGCGGCGGACGGGUGAGUAACACGUGGGUAACCUGCCCAUAAGACUGGGAUAACUCCGGGAAACCGGGGCUAAUACCGGAUAACAUCUAGCACCGCAUGGUGCAAAAUUGAAAGGCGGCUUCGGCUGUCACUUAUGGAUGGACCCGCGUCGCAUUAGCUAGUUGGUGAGGUAACGGCUCACCAAGGCGACGAUGCGUAGCCGACCUGAGAGGGUGAUCGGCCACACUGGGACUGAGACACGGCCCAGACUCCUACGGGAGGCAGCAGUAGGGAAUCUUCCGCAAUGGACGAAAGUCUGACGGAGCAACGCCGCGUGAGCGAUGAAGGCCUUCGGGUCGUAAAGCUCUGUUGUUAGGGAAGAACAAGUAUGAGUUGAAUAAGCUCAUGCCUUGACGGUACCUAACCAGAAAGCCACGGCUAACUACGUGCCAGCAGCCGCGGUAAUACGUAGGUGGCAAGCGUUAUCCGGAAUUAUUGGGCGUAAAGCGCGCGCAG
rnacentral:rRNA from 1 species